rnacentral:rRNA from 1 species
AGAGCGAACGCUGGCGGCAGGCCUAAUACAUGCAAGUCGAACGGAUCCUUCGGGAUUAGUGGCGGACGGGUGAGUAACACGUGGGAACGUGCCCUUUGGUUCGGAACAACUCAGGGAAACUUGAGCUAAUACCGAAUGUGCCCUUCGGGGGAAAGAUUUAUCGCCAUUGGAGCGGCCCGCGUCUGAUUAGCUAGUUGGUGGGGUAAAGGCCCACCAAGGCGACGAUCAGUAGCUGGUCUGAGAGGAUGAUCAGCCACACUGGGACUGAGACACGGCCCAGACUCCUACGGGAGGCAGCAGUAGGGAAUCUUGCGCAAUGGGCGAAAGCCUGACGCAGCCAUGCCGCGUGAAUGAUGAAGGUCUUAGGAUUGUAAAAUUCUUUCAGCGGGGACGAUAAUGACGGUACCCGCAGAAGAACGCCCCGGCUAACUUCGUGCCAGCAGCCGC